rnacentral:rRNA from 1 species
AACGAACGCUGGUGGCGGGCCUAAUACAUGCAAGUCGAACGAGAAAGUACUUCGGUAUGAGUAUAGUGGCGCACGGGUGAGUAACACGUAGGUGACCUACCCUCUAGUGGGGAAUAACUCGAGGAAACUCGAGCUAAUACCGCAUAAGCUGAUCAUCUUGAAUAGUGAUCAGGAAAGGUGGCUUCGGCUAUCGCUGGAGGAAGGGCUUGCGGAUCAUUAGCUUGAUGGUGGGGUAAAAGCCUACCAUGGCGACGAUGAAUAGCUGGUCUGAGAGGAUGAUCAGCCACACUGGAACUGAGACACGGUCCAG